AGAAACAGAUACUCAGCAGUUCCAAAUUAAAACCCUAGAAUCUCAUUUCUCUUAUUCUUCUUCUUCUUUCUUGUUCUUUCUUCUUCUUCUUCUCUGUUCUUUGUUUAUUUUAUUCUCAGAAGCAUGAACUGAGAAAUCGUUCAUAUCAAUUAAGAAGAAAUCUGGAGAAGUAAAUGGAUCAGGAAGGCGUUUCUGAGGUUGUGAAUUUGAUUUUAGUUAGGGAUCUUAUUGAUUGAAGAACAACGAAUCAGUAAGAAAUAAAAUUAGGGUUUCUGGAGUUAGUAUUGAAUUGGUGGGUUGAAUAACAGAAGUAGAAGAUAGUGGAGUUGUAUUAACUCGGAUUGUAAAGGAUAGGGUGAAUCUGUGAGAAGAAGUUAAGGUUUGGAAAUAGAUUUAAGGUUCAAUUUAGUGGCAGGUAAGAAGAAAUCAAAGACUGGGUUUGGUAGUUUGAGAAGUGAAUCGAUGUUUUGAACUUUGAUUAGAGAGAAGAAGGAAUUGGGAAUUAUUUUCAGGUUAUGAGUACAGAUGUUGGUGAUUGAAGAUGAAUUUGAUGGUUGGGGUUUAAAGUGAUGAUUCAGAAGUUCAAUUGAGGCAAAACAAGGAAUCAAGAUCAACUAAUUCAUUCUAGGAAUAUGGUUUCAGGUGUUGUAUAUUGAGUAUGAGUUACCAUCUUCAGCUUCUAAUACUGAUUGUCAUGCAAAGACCUUUUCAUCAGCUGAUGCAUCAUUGUCAAAUCACCGUAGGAAGCAACAAAAAAGCCUUUAGAGAUAUAGUAAGAAGUAGUGAGCCAGUGCCUCAACACGACAAUAAGUCUCUCCCACUUCAUCUCUUUGAGCUGUAGAGAUAAAGGUAUUAAAUCAAUUGUAUGUCACUACUUGCCAAAAUUCCAAGCAGAAAAAGAAGAUAGCGACAGUGGGAACUACAGAACAAACACAAGAAGUGAGAUAUAAUUUUCUAACCUCUUGUUCCUUCAUUUGAAGAACCUUACUUAUGGAUACCUACAGAUUGGCUUCGUUAAUGGGCUGAUAAUUUUUUCCCUCUUUUAGCGUCCUUGACAAGGAACUGAGAAAUGGAGGGUUUCCUUGCUAUCCCUUGUAGCGUCCUUGACAACACAUCAAUUCAGUGCACACACGGUGGACUUCCAGUUUUAAAAUCUGCUCUAUGAAGCAACAACAACAACCAAGCCGUUAGACUUAAACAAGUUGGGGUAGGCUAGAAAUGAAACCCAUGUCGAAGUUACCAAAAGAAAAGUUGUCUCUAUGAAGCGUUGGUUAGAAAAAGCGUGGACAAGGUUCCCAAGACCUGUACAUGCUUGGUCGGCCAUGAUAGGCACUCCUUACCUGGGCACCUCUGAGGGUUUUGGUGCAUCAAAGGUCUGGUUCGUGCAGACAUUUGGAUUAGAAGUUUCCCUGAACUCUGUUAAGUGUUCAGCACAUCAUUUUCUUUUUCCCAUAUCUCAUUUGUCUGUUUUCUUACAUGUUACUCUAAUAAUUAUGUUCACGUGAACUUUUGACUCCAGUAUGGUGUUAUGACAACAAUAUCGAAUGGCGACCUCUGCAUCGACUUUCUGACUAAAGGAUUGGGUGAAGACGAUUUGGGCAAAGAUUCUCAAUAAAGGAAAUUGCAUAUGCCUCGGUUGCUAGGACGUUUUUGAAUAGUACGUUGUGUUAUGUGCCUGAACAAGGAGCAACAGCAAAUUCUUGCACUGCAGCAAUAACAACAGAAUCUAAUACCACAGCAACAGAAGCUCCAGUUACAAUUGCAACCUCAGCGAUUUCCACUACAGACAUAUUCAUGGAGCCAAAUCAGUUACCACAAGCAGUAUGGGUUUGGAAUUAUGAACUUAAAGCCAGGGAUUAUGGAGAACUUGAUGAAGAAUGCUUGGAAAUUAGUGUUUGGGAAGUAUCUGCAAGUUUUGAGUAAGUUUCUUUGUAGUAUUUGAGCUGAACUUAUAAUGUUUUUAGUCAAAAUGAACUGAACUUGGUCUACGUAUUCCAUUUGGUACUUGAAAAAUUUGUUUUCUUUUUUGAUGUGAAUUGAUUGAAUGUUAAUAUG